rnacentral:rRNA from 1 species
CGCCUCUAGACUCCCCCAUUAAAGGUCCAUCCUGCCCAGUGAAAAUUUAAACGGCCGCGGUAUCCUGACCGUGCUAAGGUAGCAUAAUCAUUUGCCUCUUAAUUGGUGGCUAGUAUGAAUGGACAAACGCAAGCGCCACUGUCUCGUUAGUAUCAAUAAAAAUUAACAUUUAGGUGAAGAGGCCUAAAUCCAAUAAAAAGACAAAAAGACCCUAUGGAGCUUAAUUUAACCCCCCUGCUUACCUUUAAAAUAUAACCCCCCCAGGAUAAAUAAAUUUAGUUGGGGCGACUUGGGAAAACCACAAAUCUUCCCAGAAAAAAAGAAAAUAACUCUACCACAAUCCGUCACACGAAUAUAGACUCAGCUACCCUAGGGAUAACAGGCUAAUUCUUCCCGCGAGCCCAAAUUAACGGAAGAGAUUGGCACCUCGAUGUUGGCUUAGGGUCCCUACAAGAUGCAGAAGUCUGAA